rnacentral:tRNA from 1 species
GCUCUUAUAGUUAAAUGGCAUAACACAGUCUUGGUAAGACUGUAUUUCAAGUUCGAUUCUUGGUAAGAGCACCA